rnacentral:misc_RNA from 1 species
AGCAGCAGCAGCAGCAGGAGGAGGUGGAGGAGCCUGAGGCCGCGCUGGCGCUGGAUUCGUUACCUGAACCGUAGCUGGAAUUGGAGUAGCAUUUUGUUGAUUAUUCGCAGCAUUUUGAGUCGAAAACAUCGGUGGCAUCCAAGUUGGAAAUGCACCAGUAGUUGCAGCAGCAGCAGCAGCUCCUUUCACAGUACCCAAAUCCUCCAAAUUCCCAUUCACAAAACCCAUUGGAAAAAACCCCCAAAUGCAAUAAUAAGCUUCUUUCCCUGGCACCAUUGGUGGCAUUGACAAAAUCUCAGUAGCAGUAAAAGCCCUUUUACAUUUAUCACAUCGUAAACAACACCCUUCAUAAACCCUAGGAUACUCAUACAAAUUGUAACAAUACGGACACGCCGUCCACAAAUUCACCACCCUUUGCCCUCUCAUCGCACCACUCAUCGGCGCCGGCGCCGUAGCCUUCGGCGGCGCACUAUGAUAACUCUUCUGACUCACCGGACUGGGAUUAGGGUUCUGAUUUUGACCCGAACCCGAAUUACUCGCUCGACUACUCCUCCUCACAGGUAACUUCGCAUCUCCUUUCUUCUGCUUAUUAUAACUCCCUCUAGGUCUUCCUCGUCGAGCAGAAGGAGUCAAUUUAACUCUACCAAAAAGGGAAAGUUCAUUAUCAUAAAGACCCUUUUUUGAUGGAUCUGAAAGAACAGCCCAAGCAUCAGCAACAAGGCCGAAAGCAGUAUCUGAAGAUGGGUAUUUGUUUUUAUCAGGAUGAAGAAGAAGAGCAAGACGACGAUACUGUUUCUUGAUAAGCUCUGAAUCUUCAGUACGACCUUGGAUUUGAAGAAUAGAGUACCAAUCAUGGUGAUUGUUGAUUCGUUUAACAGAAGCUAAAAGAACUUCAGCAAUUGCUAAGAUCUGGUCAGGUCCUUCAAGUAAAGGCUCAGUUUCUUGAGCAAGAAGUGCAAAAUCUUUACAAGGGGCAAAUUCUUUAUCUCUUAACAGCUUUUCUGCAACUCCUAACAGUCUCUCUGCUUCUGCUCUGCUUGUAGUUGUAUGAUGCUCCAUUUUUUCCUCAAUUUUUGGGGAUUUUAGGGCUUUGGGGGUUUGAUCUGAAAUGGAGACGGAGAAAUUGAUGGAUGAUUUGGGGAAGAGGAAGAGGGGGUGGG